AUACGAAGGGGGCUAGCGUUGUUCGGAAUUACUGGGCGUAAAGCGCGCGUAGGCGGACUGAUCAGUUGGGGGUGAAAUCCCAGGGCUUAACCCUGGAACUGCCUCCAAUACUGUCAGUCUUGAGUUCGGGAGAGGUGAGUGGAAUUCCUAGUGUAGAGGUGAAAUGCGUAGAUAUUAGGAAGAACACCAGUGGCGAAGGCGGCUCACUGGCCCGAUACUGACGCUGAGGCGCGAAAGCGUGGGGAGCAAACAGGAUUAGAUACCCUAGUAGUCC
rnacentral:rRNA from 1 species